GAGCGGCGGACCUUGACCUUUCGGGAAAAAAAACUCACGGACGGUGACAGCGAAACGGAUAACAGUCUUCAGUACCUGCUGGACUUUGAAGCUGUGGAUUCUGGGACUGUUAGAAAAGCUCCAACAAAAUGAGGAAGAGGAAGGGGAGAAACACAAUUAGGUUGAAUUACAAUUGGAUGGAAGGCGAGGACAAGGAGAAGGAAGCUUAGGAUGAGGAGGAAGAGAAGCAGCAGGAGCAUCUUUAGGGAUCCCUAUGAUGUCAUUGAGAUGGAGGAUCACUAACAGGAGCGUGGGAAGACUCCAGAAUCCACUCUGGCUGGAAUCCGGUGGAUAUGCAGUGUGUACAGUUCUCCACAGUCGCUGUCCACAUGGGUCAGUGGGACCAAGAAGCACUCUGCUAAUGUGGGACUCUGACCAGCAACAUCCAGCAGGACCCAGACAGCGUUUUCUAUCUCCCAGCUGGAGGUUUUUGUUUGUCUGUGACUGGAGAGUCAGAUUUUUGUUGAGCUUCACACUUGCAGAGGAGAAUCAUCAAUUUUGGCAACAAAGAAGCCUGGUGGAUGUUUGUUUACAGUCUGAUGAUGGGACAUCAUGCUCUGCAUCUUCAAAUCUUUUUGCAGGAUCAGAAAACAAAACCAGGAGGCGUGUAAAUGUUUCUUCUCCAUGAUGUUUCUUCAAAUGUUUCUUCUGGAUGAUGAUAAGACUGUGACACGGGAUGCCACCUUUGGUCUUGUGAUGAAGCAAAGCUCAGGAAGAAGUGGGAUUAAAUGGUACCCACAUGUGUGCUGCUGAGAAGGAUGUACAGGGGCACCUGCAGCCAAAUCCAAGCCUCAGAGCGGCAGUUUGUGCUCACAGAUGGUGACGGUGUGGAGAGACGGUGGUGUUUCCUCAGAAGAACCAGCAGAGUCACAAAGGACACCAGUCCAUCUCACCACCGUGACUCGCUGACUGAUGUUCGUCUGCACUGCACAGAGGAAAUCAACUGACCAAGGAGUGUUUCUGAGUGAGGGGGAGAGGAGUCAUCAUCCAGAUGGGCAGUAUAUCAGUCUUGGACUGUCUAACCUGCUGGAGCAGCACUGAAUGACCACCACACAUGAGCAUGUUCCCGCAACAUUCAGCAUCUGAUCUGUCAUCUGUGUGCUGCUGCUUUUGUGUCACAUGUCAAACAGCUGGAGAGGAAACUACACCAGUGUACUGGGAUGUUUCAGCAACACGUGCCAGAUGCUGUUCCUUCAUGGUGACAUCACCAGAGACAGCCCCACCCACCUCAGGACCUCGCCAUUGAUCAUGAUGAUUAUAAUGAUGACAGCGAGCGGAACUAAGACUGUAAAAAUCCACGACCAGAAUUUUUCUUUCUAAUUAUGAAUGAAUACUGAGAGCCUCGUUCUGUGUUUUGUCUGUUUUGGUUGUUUUUUUUUUUACCUCAUUUGUUACUAACAAAGUUCACAAACUCACACAGUUUACAUUCUGUAUGUUUCCAUCUUUACCAGCCACAAUCUAACUGCAUUUAAGAAAAUAAUCCUUAGAAAUCGUCGUUUUUCUUUUGUAAUUGAUGAUAAUUCAGUGAAUAUACUGCGCUGCUUCCUUUUAUUGCGUCACACAUUGCUUUAUGUUUUUCAGUGUCCAGUUAUUUUUUACUGCUGUUUGAAUUCUCUGUAUGUUUGACCCUGUAGACUGUUUGAUGGACUGCUUGUCUUCCUGUUUGUUACCGCCGCCUGUUUUUUAAUAAAGAUUUGGAUUUCUGACUUCAA
ensembl:lncRNA